GAUGAACGCUGGCGGCGUGCCUAAUACAUGCAAGUCGAGCGAGGUUCUUCGGAACCUAGCGGCGGACGGGUGAGUAACACGUGGGUAACCUGCCUGUGAGACCGGGAUAACUUCGGGAAACCGAAGCUAAUACCGGAUAAUUUCGAGCAUCGCAUGAUGCUUGAUGGAAAGACGGCUUCGGCUGUCACUUACGGCUGUACCCGGGUCGCAUGAGCUAGUUGGUGAGGUAACGGCUCACCAAGGCGACGAUGCGUAGCCGACCUGGGAGGGUGAGCGGCCACACUGGGACUGAGACACGGCCCAGACUCCUACGGGAGGCAGCAGUAGGGAAUCUUCGGCAAUGGGCGAAAGCCUGACCGAGCAACGCCGCGUGAGCGAUGAAGGUCUUCGGGUCGUAAAGCUCUGUUGUUAAGGAAGAACAAGUACGAGAGUAACUGCUCGUACCUUGACGGUACUUAACGAGAAAGCCACGGCUAACUACGUGCCAGCCGCCGCGGUAAUAC
rnacentral:rRNA from 1 species